GCCGAUGUAGCUCAGUUGGUAGAGCAUCGCUUUCGUAAAGCGAGGGUCGUCAGUUCAAUCCUGACCAUCGGCU
rnacentral:tRNA from 1 species